CCUACGGGGUGCAGCAGUGGGGGAUAUUGCACAAUGGGGGAAACCCUGAUGCAGCGACGCCGCGUGGGUGAAGAAGCGCCUCGGCGCGUAAAGCCCUGUCAGCAGGGAAGAAAAUGACGGUACCUGAAGAAGAAGCCCCGGCUAACUACGUGCCAGCAGCCGCGGUAAUACGUAGGGGGCAAGCGUUAUCCGGAUUUACUGGGUGUAAAGGGGGCGCAGACGGCGAUGCAAGCCAGGAGUGAAAGCCCGGGGCCCAACCCCGGGACGGCUCUUGGAACUGCGUGGCUAGAGUGCAGGAGGGGCAGGCGGAAUGCCUGGUGUAGCGGUGAAAUGCGUAGAUAUCAGGAGGAACACCGGUGGCGAAGGCGGCCUGCUGGACUGCAACUGACGUUGAGGCCCGAAAGCGUGGGGAGCAAACAGGAUUAGAUACCCUUGUAGUC
rnacentral:rRNA from 1 species